ensembl:lncRNA
GCCAAAUUGCUGUGGUCUGAUGCGCAAUGCCCCUUCUAGUAAUUUUACUACUAUGAGGUGGUGGUAAUUUCUGCCUCAAGUGAAUAACUGUGUGUGACAUGCUAAUUUGAGUUGAGCUAAUCUGUGUACCUAGUGGGGUUUCUGGAGAGAUGUGCAGUGUGUGUGUACCUAGUGGAGGUUCUGGGGAGAUGUGUGUGUGUGUGUGUGUACCUAGUGGUGGUUCUGGGGAAAUUUGCAGUGUGUGUAUCUAGUGGGGGUUCUGGGGAGAUGUGUGUGUGUGUACCUAGUGGUGGUUCUGGGGAGAUAUGUGUGUGUGUGCAUCUAGUGGUGGUUCUGGGGAGAUGUGUGUGUGUGUGU